AUUUUUUUCCUCCUAAACCUCCAGGUCUGUGAUGGGAGAAGCUCCUGCAAAGGUCUCUGACAUGCCCUGGAGACAUUCUCCCCAUUGUCUUGGAGAUUAAUAUUUGGCUUCUCAUUACUUAUGCAAAUUUCUGCAGCUGGCUUGAAUUUCUCCUCAGAAAAUGAGAUUUUCUUUUCUAUUGCAUUGUUAGGCUGCAAAUUUUUCAAACUUUUAAGCUCUGUUUCCCUUUUAAAACUGAAUGCUUCUAACAGCAUCCAAGUCAUCUGUAGAAUGCUAUGCUGCUUAGAAAUUUAUUCUGCAAGAUACUCUAAAUCAUCUGUCUCAAGUUCAAAGUCCCACAAAUCUCUAGGGCAGGGGCAAAAUUCCGCCAGUCUCUUUGCUAAAACCUAAUGAGAGUCACUUUUGCUCCAGUUUCCAAUAAGUUCCUCAUCUCCAUCUGCAACCAACUCAGCCUGGACCUUACUGUUCAUAUCAUCAUCAGCAUUUUUGUCAAAGCCAUUCAACAAAUCUCUAGGAGUUUCAAACUUUCCCACGGUUUUCUGUCUUCUGAGUCCUCCAAACUGUUCCAGCCUCUGCCUGUUACCCAGUUCCAAGGGAGUUCUCUGACCCCUUGCGCUUCCCAGGUGAGGCGACGGCCCACCCUGCUUCAGCUCGCCCUCCGUGAGCUGCACCCACUGUUUAGUCCCAAAUCAACUUUUUUUCCAAAUUUGUAUCAGUUUUGACAUUUGCACAUAAUUUGUUUGGAUUAUACUUAACAGAUGUUUGGUAUUAAUAUGUGCUUAUGAUUUGGAAUGCUAUGGUUAGAGAAAAUAAAGCAUAAUGGUUUUGGUCACAAGUGCUGAGUCCAAGAGACCUGGAUUUGAAAUGACUGUACCACUUACUAGAUGUAUGAACUUCUAUAAUCCUCUCUGAGCUUCAGUUUCCCAUCUUGAAAUGGGAACAAUAAUACAUUAAUGGAGUUUUCAAUUUGUAUUGCAUGUUCAUCAUGUGUGUUCAGUGGUGUUUUUAGUGGUGGUAUAUUGGCUUCUGCUCUAAGAAAAUACUAAUAAACUUCUACUUAUUUGGAGCUUAUUUUGCAAUAAAUAUGAGAAAGAAAUAAAGCCAGAAAAAUAGAAAAGUAAGGCAAAACUGCCUGUGGAGUGGUGUAAUGAGGAGGAGGCAGAAAGAAUCUAUGCAUGUUCCUUCUCCAGGAAUUUAAGAAAACUUCUUUCUAUAGUAAUUCUUUUAAAAUAGUUUAAAUAGUUGAUCUGCUUGCAAAGGCUUGCAGACAUCAAGGAAUGUACUUUCUAAGAACUCCUUGAAAUCCUUUUAAAAAACUUACUGACUGUGGGAUUCUAUAAGACAGAACAGGGUAAGUUUACAUUUAACUGACUUUUAACUCCUAGAGCAUAAUUUGAGUUGUAUUAAAAACAUUUUUUAAAGCAUAAAUCUGUUAAAAACAAUAGUAAAUAGCAAGAGUUCAGAGGACAUAAGCUAAGCAUUUUCCAGCAUGUAGUAACCAAUAUACUAAUGUUAGGCAUUGGCACUGUUACUGUAUUGAAAAAAGGGCUUGGUCUCCAUUUUUGUUAUAUUUGGAAAAAUAUUUGUUAACAAUUUUCUAUUCUAUGCUACUCCUGGGAGGAAGCUUCAAAGGCCUCAGCCACAAGUAGCUCUAGCUCAAGCAAAAACAAAGCAUGUUGAGAAUUGUGAACAGUCAGUGAUGCAACACAAGGUGGUGCUCUUAUCCCAGUGAGUGCUGUAGAGCCUUGUUAGGGCAUUAGACAAAGGAUGUACAACUCCAAAAGAUAUGGUUGGUAUAAACGCCAGUGAGGAUCUGCCGGACAGACUGAACAGCUGACUGGGGGGCACAAAGCCAAAGGUGACUUUUCUUAGAAUGUAGACUGGUAUAAUAAUGCAGGGGUGCAAAAAGCAGCGUAGCAAAAACCUAAGAAAGAUAAGAACGAGUGUCUGUGCUUUAUAGUAUAUUUAUUACUUGCUCUUAUUAUUCAUUUUAGUCUUAAUAACAAUCAUCUUUACAUGGCUUUGCCAUACACGUGCCUAAAACAAAUGUUAGAUAAUGAUAUUUCUAUGUAGAAAUAAUGGCUUCCCAUGGUCUUCAUGAUAAAAUCCUGCUUUGUCUCCUGGCAACUUUCACCCCUUCUUCAGGACUGAAAUGUCUGAAGUUCCUGAAAUGCAUCCUUCUCUCUUGUCUCUGUGAUUUUGCACAAGCUGGUGUUCUACCUGGAACUUACUUUCUCCUUUCAUCUUCUUGGACAAUUCCUGUUCCUUCUUUCUGGGUUAACACAGAUAUCACCCCCUCCUAGGCCUUCCUUAAUUACCUCCACGUAACAGGAAUGUGCGCAUUGAAGCUAUUAAUAGUAUAUGUGAAGUACUUAAUAGAUGUAUUCACUUAACAAAUAGUAUCUACUGUUUUCAUACAAGUCCAAUAGUUUUAGUCUAUGUACAUAUCAAUCAUUUUUAUGUAUUUAUUUAUGGGUAUUUACUAUUUUCUAGAUCUUUUAGUCACUUAUGUCUUUAUUAAUAACCAGACUGUCACUUCAUAUUCUCAGUGUAAAAUCUUCCUUUUUAUACAGAUGAUAUUUUAUGUUUUGUUUACAGUAUUCUUCCUGAUUAGUUAGUUGAAUAAGUAGUUUCUCAGUACUCAUGUACAAGCUGCUGUUCUAAACACUGAAAGUAUAGGACAUAAAAAUGGAUAGCAUAAUGGAGACACCUAUUGUCUAGUGAUUCUUAAUAUUUAUUGUUCUUUAGAAUUUUAAGAUUAAAUUGCAUCAUUGCUUUGGAGAGAAAACGGAUAAUAAUAAUGUUUUUCCUGGUUUACAGCUUUUUUUCUGCUAUGAAACAGCUUGUUUUAUGCUAUUUUCUAACUAUAGUUUAUAUUAUUGAUUUUAAAAAGCAUUAACGCUUGCCCAUAGUAAAACUGU
rnacentral:lncRNA from 1 species